rnacentral:misc_RNA from 1 species
GUAUUGUAAAAAAUACAAGAAAAGUUUUUCUUAGCGUAGCUUUUUUUUGGUAAGAAUUACUUUUGUUGAAAUCAGGAAGCAUCAUUACACACAGAACAGGAGAUAAAAGCUUGGGGAUUCUCCCAAACUUAAGAACUAGAAGCUCCUUUUGCUAACAAAUGAGCGGCUUUGUAACCCACAACAAAGAUGUACACACAAAUAGGGCGACAGUCUGAAAUUAUGUUACCAAACUCAGUACAGUCUUCCCCACAAGAGUGGAUUGCAUGAAAAACAACUUGUGAAUCAAUAUCAACAAUGGCAUUAGUGAAGGAACUUUGCUGCAACCAGCACAGAGCCUCGCGUAAUCCCAUAGCUUCAGCCUCUGUGAAACUUCGACAA